UACGUAGGGGGCGAGCGUUGUCCGGAAUUACUGGGCGUAAAGAGCACGUAGGCGGCUAUAAAAGUCAGAUGUGAAAAACCUGGGCUCAACCGAGGGUAUGCAUCUGAAACUAAAUAGCUUGAGUCAAGGAGAGGAGAGCGGAAUUCCUGGUGUAGCGGUGAAAUGCGUAGAGAUCAGGAAGAAUACCAGGGGCGAAAGCGGCUCUCUGGACUUGAACUGACGCUGAGGUGCGAAAGCGUGGGGAGCAAACAGG
rnacentral:rRNA from 1 species